rnacentral:ncRNA from 1 species
GUGCUGAUGUAGAAGCAGUCAGGAUGGCAGAUGUACUCCGCCUCCGGGUCAUUGCUCAGCCU